rnacentral:rRNA from 1 species
CCUACGGGAGGCUGCAGUGGGGAAUAUUGGGCAAUGGAGGGAACUCUUACCCAGCAAUGCCGCGUGAGCGAAGAAGGCCUUCGGGUUGUAAAGCUCUUUGAUUGGGGACGAAGCAAGUGACGGUACCCAAGGAACAAGUCCCGGCUAACUAUGUGCCAGCAGCCGCGGUAAUACAUAGGGGACUAGCGUUGUCCGGAAUUACUGGGCGUAAAGGGUGUGUAGGCGGUUUUUUAAGUUGGAAGUGUAAUACCCAGAGCUUAACUCGGGUGCUGCUUCCAAAACUGGAAGACUAGAGUAUGGGAGAGGAUAAUGGAAUUCCUAGUGUAGCGGUGGAAUGCAUAGAUAUUAGGAGGAACACCAGAGGCGAAAGCGAUUAUCUGGACCAUAACUGACGCUGAGGCACGAAAGCGUGGGGAGCGAACAGGAUUAGAUACCCCGGUAGUC